rnacentral:tRNA from 1 species
AGGGGUAUAGCUCAAAUGGUAGAGCCCAUGCUUAGAAUGCACAAGGUCCUGGGUUCAAUCCCCAGUACCUCCA